rnacentral:rRNA from 1 species
CCUACACGACCGUACCGCAAACCGACACUGGUGCGCGAGAUGAGUAUUCUAAGGCGCUUGAGAGAACUCAGGAGAAGGAACUCGGCAAAUUGACACCGUAACUUCGGAAGAAGGUGUGCCUUUAGUAGGUGAACCUGUACGAGGGGAGCCCAAUGAGGUUGCAAAAAAUCGGUGGCUGCGACUGUUUAAUAAAAACACAGCACUCUGCAAACACGAAAGUGGACGUAUAGGGUGUGACGCCUGCCCGGUGCUGGAAGAUUAAAUGAUGGGGUGCAAGCUCUUGAUUGAAGUCCCAGUAAACGGCGGCCGUAACAAUAACGGUCCUAAGGUAGCGAAAUUCCUUGUCGGGUAAGUUCCGACCUGCACGAAUGGCGUAACGAUGGCCACACUGUCUCCUCCUGAGACUCAGCGAAGUUGAAAUGUUUGUGAUGAUGCAAUCUCCCCGCGGAAAGACGGAAAGACCCCAUGAACCUUUACUGUAGCUUUGUAUUGGACUUUGAACAGAUCUGUGUAGGAUAGGUGGGAGGCUUUGAAGUGUGGUCGCUAGAUCGCAUGGAGCCAACGUUGAAAUACCACCCUGGUGUGUUUGAGGUUCUAACCUAGGCCCGUAAUCCGGGUCGGGGACAGUGCAUGGUAGGCAGUUUGACUGGGGCGGUCUCCUCCCAAAGCGUAACGGAGGAGUUCGAAGGUACGCUAGGUACGGUCGGACAUCGUGCUAAUAGUGCAAUGGCAUAAGCGUGCUUAACUGCGAGACUGACAAGUCGAGCAGAUGCGAAAGCAGGACAUAGUGAUCCGGUGGUUCUGUAUGGAAGGGCCAUCGCUCAACGGAUAAAAGGUACUCUGGGGAUAACAGGCUGAUACCGCCCAAGAGUUCAUAUCGACGGCGGUGUUUGGCACCUCGAUGUCGGCUCAUCUCAUCCUGGGGCUGUAGCCGGUCCCAAGGGUAUGGCUGUUCGCCAUUUAAAGAGGUACGUGAGCUGGGUUUGAAACGUCGUGAGACAGUUUGGUCCCUAUCUUCCGUGGGCGCUGCAGAUUGAGGAAGCCUGCUCCUAGUACGAGAGGACCGGAGUGGACACACCUCUGGUGUAUCGGUUGUCACGCCAGUGGCAUUGCCGAGUAGCUAUGUGUGGAAGAGAUAACCGCUGAAAGCAUCUAAGCGGGAAACUCGUUUCAAGAUGAGAUCUGCCGGGGCCUUGAGCCCCCUAAAGAGUCC